GAUGAACGCUGGCGGCGUGCCUAAUACAUGCAAGUCGAGCGAACAGACGAGGAGCUUGCUCCUCUGACGUUAGCGGCGGACGGGUGAGUAACACGUGGAUAACCUACCUAUAAGACUGGGAUAACUUCGGGAAACCGGAGCUAAUACCGGAUAAUAUAUUGAACCGCAUGGUUCAAUAGUGAAAGACGGUUUUGCUGUCACUUAUAGAUGGAUCCGCGCCGCAUUAGCUAGUUGGUAAGGUAACGGCUUACCAAGGCAACGAUGCGUAGCCGACCGGAGAGGGUGGUCGGCCACACUGGAACUGAGACACGGUCCGGACUCCUACGGGAGGCAGCAGUAGGGAAUCAUCCGCAAUGGGCGAAAGCCUGACGGAGCAACGCCGCGUGAGUGAUGAAGGUCUUCGGAUCGUAAAACUCUGUUAUUAGGGAAGAACAAAUGUGUAAGUAACUAUGCACGUCUUGACGGUACCUAAUCAGAAAGCCACGGCUAACUACGUG
rnacentral:rRNA from 1 species